rnacentral:lncRNA from 1 species
UUGUUUGUUUAGCGACAUGUUGCCUAAUUACCGACGAACUGUCUAACGCCGCUCGCCAGGCCACUUCGAGGACAACUUCAGAUGGGAUUUGCGACAGACUUAUCCCUUGUUCUAAUUCUAGUACGUAGUGUGGUCUAUGUUGUUUUUCUGUUGUUCAGUUUAUCAAAAUGUGUAAUUGAAUCUUAAUCCAAAUGUGUUAUCUAAUUGGGUUUCACCCACCAAGAGAGGGGGAGGGGGAGGGGGAGGGGGAGGGGAGGGGAGAAAAGAGUCUACUUGUUCCCUUUAGCUGAGGCUAAAAUUUAACAUUAUCCUUAGGGUUGCUAUAUCCGACAUGGGAAGAAUUAUUCGUCAAAAUUCAUUAUAAAUAUGUUUUGUUAUUUAUAGACAAUUUAAAUAUUUGUUGUAUUUUUAUUUAUUAAUUAGAAUAGCCUAGUAGAUUUAAUUAUUUGUUGUAUUUUUAUUUAUUAAUUAGAAUAGCCUAGUAGAUUUAAUUAUUUUGGAUCCGUUUAUAUUUUGGGCUUAGUUUGUAAGUUUAUUAGAUUUUAUUUAAUUUAGAGUUUAGGUAGUCUAAAUAGUCUCUUAAGAUUCAUAUUAUGGAACAACUCUCAUUAUUCUUGAAGUAUCAGAUUAUUUUAACAGUUGUUAUACAGUCUUUUAUCCCUCAUUUGUGGAUUACUGUGAUUGCAAAAUUCCAAAUUUAAUUUUUGUGAUUGUUUGAUUUGUUGUUUACUCUGUCUUCUGUUGUGACAGUUGACAUCAGCGAGCCUAGGAGUUAGCCCAUGACAAGGACGAUUCUACUGAUUAAGCAAGAGACAACCCACUCCGAUGUUGAUGUUAAAGAGAAUGAUGUUGAUUGAAAUUGUUUAGCUAGCCGGAGAUUGCGAGUAACCGUUUGUUAAUCGUGGGGAAUAGUUUACGCUAGUUGAACUUAUCUUUAAUUUUCUAUUUUUAUCAAGGAAGAAAAAGUUCCAUUGUUCACAGACAGAUUUAACCCAUCUUUGCCGGAAAAGAGUUUCACGUCUCCUAGAUGCUAGUAGUAUAAAUAGUCUCUUAAGAUUAUUAUUAUAAAAUAACUUUUAUUAUUAUUGAAUUAUCAGUUAUCAGAC